GGGGGAGCUAGCCGGAGUGAGGGAGUGUCGAUCAGUGAGUGUGUGUAUGUCAGUGAGUGUGUGUAUGUGUGUCUGUCAGUGUGUGUGUGUGUCUGUCUGUCAGUGAAUGUGUAUCAGGGAGUGUGUGUGUGUGUGUGUGUGUCUGUCUAUCAGUAAGUGUGUGUUUCUGUCAGUGUGUGUAUGUGUGCCGGUUUGUGUGUCUGUCAGUGACUGUGUGUGUGUG